GAUGAACGCUGGCGGCGUGCCUAAUACAUGCAAGUCGAGCGAACAGACGAGGAGCUUGCUCCUCUGACGUUAGCGGCGGACGGGUGAGUAACACGUGGAUAACCUACCUAUAAGACUGGGAUAACUUCGGGAAACCGGAGCUAAUACCGGAUAAUAUAUUGAACCGCAUGGUUCAAUAGUGAAAGACGGUUUUGCUGUCACUUAUAGAUGGAUCCGCGCCGCAUUAGCUAGUUGGUAAGGUAACGGCUUACCAAGGCAACGAUGCGUAGCCGACCUGAGAGGGUGAUCGGCCACACUGGAACUGAGACACGGUCCAGACUCCUACGGGAGGCAGCAGUAGGGAAUCUUCCGCAAUGGGCGAAAGCCUGACGGAGCAACGCCGCGUGAGUGAUGAAGGUCUUCGGAUCGUAAAGCUCUGUUAUUAGGGAAGAACAAAUGUGUAAGUAACUAUGCACGUAUUGACGGUACCUAAUCAGAAAGCCACGGCUAACUACGUG
rnacentral:rRNA from 1 species